rnacentral:rRNA from 1 species
CCUACGGGGGGCUGCAGUGGGGAAUAUUGGACAAUGGGGGCAACCCUGAUCCAGCCAUGCCGCGUGUGUGAAGAAGGCCCUCGGGUUGUAAAGCACUUUCAGUGAGGAAGAACGCCUGGUGGUUAAUACCCAUCAGGAAAGACAUCACUCACAGAAGAAGCACCGGCUAACUCCGUGCCAGCAGCCGCGGUAAUACGGAGGGUGCGAGCGUUAAUCGGAAUUACUGGGCGUAAAGCGCGCGUAGGUGGCUUGAUAAGCCGGUUGUGAAAGCCCCGGGCUCAACCUGGGAACGGCAUCCGGAGCUGUCAAGCUAGAGGGCAGGCGAGGGAGGUAUCAGCCCCGGUGUAGCGGUGACCUGCGGAGAGCUCGGGAGGACGAGCAGUGGCGAAGGCGGCCGUAAGGACUGACAAUGACAGUGAGGUGGCAUUCCGUGAGUCGCAACCCGGACAAGAGGGCCCACUACUG